rnacentral:rRNA from 1 species
AUAGGAGUCAGCCGUCUAAGGUAGGACAGAUGAUUAGGGUGAAGUCGUAACAAGGUAGCCGUAGGAGAACCUGCGGCUGGAUCACCUCCUUU